rnacentral:rRNA from 1 species
GACGAACGCUGGCGGCGUGCCUAAUACAUGCAAGUUGAGCGCUGAAGGUUGGUACUUGUACCAACUGGAUGAGCAGCGAACGGGUGAGUAACGCGUGGGGAAUCUGCCUUUGAGCGGGGGACAACAUUUGGAAACGAAUGCUAAUACCGCAUAAAAACUUUAAACACAAGUUUUAAGUUUGAAAGAUGCAAUUGCAUCACUCAAAGAUGAUCCCGCGUUGUAUUAGCUAGUUGGUGAGGUAAAGGCUCACCAAGGCGAUGAUACAUAGCCGACCUGAGAGGGUGAUCGGCCAAAUUGGGACUGAGACACGGCCCAAACUCCUACGGGAGGCAGCAGUAGGGAAUCUUCGGCAAUGGACGAAAGUCUGACCGAGCAACGCCGCGUGAGUGAAGAAGGGUGUCGGAUCGUAAAACUCUGUUGGUAGAGAAGAACGUUGGUGAGAGUGGAAAGCUCAUCAAGUGACGGUAACUACCCAGAAAGGGACGGCUAACUACGUG